rnacentral:rRNA from 1 species
GUGGGGAAUCUUAGACAAUGGGGGAAACCCUGAUCUAGCCAUGCCGCGUGAGCGAUGAAGGCCUUAGGGUUGUAAAGCUCUUUCAGAUGGGAAGAUAAUGACGGUACCAUCAGAAGAAGCCCCGGCUAACUCCGUGCCAGCAGCCGCGGUAAUACGGAGGGGGCUAGCGUUGUUCGGAAUUACUGGGCGUAAAGCGCACGUAGGCGGACCAGAAAGUCAGAGGUGAAAUCCCAGGGCUCAACCUUGGAACUGCCUUUGAAACUCCUGGUCUUGAGGUCGAGAGAGGUGAGUGGAAUUCCGAGUGUAGAGGUGAAAUUCGUAGAUAUUCGGAGGAACACCAGUGGCGAAGGCGGCUCACUGGCUCGAUACUGACGCUGAGGUGCGAAAGCGUGGGGAGCAAACAGGAUUAGAAACCCCGGUAGUCC